ensembl:lncRNA
CUUUAAUACUUUCAUUUUCUCUCUCCAAGAUUUCUGAAAGGUGAUACAAAGAUAUCUGGUGAUACUUGUAAAGUCUGCAUUUUUCUAACACAUAAGUAAGUGUGAGAAGAGCAUUAACAAGGAAGAAAGAGGUUUCUACUGCAACUGGGAAUUUUCUGAGCAAUUUCGCUGAGAUAUGCUAGGAUCAGAGAAGUAAUAUACUGUCUGGUUUGGAAGAAAAAAAAAACAGAAGAAAAAAGUGGAAGGAAGAAAGGAACGAACGAACGAAGGGAGGGAGGGAGGAAUGACUUUGAGAAACAGUAGAAAGAAAUAAAGAAGAUGAAAUUAAAAGAAAAGGAAGAAAAGGAAGAAUGUAGGAAG